AUUGAACGCUGGCGGCAUGCCUUACACAUGCAAGUCGAACGGCAGCGGGCCUUCGGGUGCCGGCGAGUGGCGAACGGGUGAGUAAUGCAUCGGAACGUGCCAUUGAGUGGGGGGAUAACGUAGCGAAAGUUGCGCUAAUACCGCAUAUUCUGUGAGCAGGAAAGCAGGGGACCGCAAGGCCUUGCGCUCUUUGAGCGGCCGAUGUCAGAUUAGCUAGUUGGUGAGGUAAAGGCUUACCAAGGCGACGAUCUGUAGCGGGUCUGAGAGGAUGAUCCGCCACACUGGAACUGAGACACGGUCCAGACUCCUACGGGAGGCAGCAGUGGGGAAUUUUGGACAAUGGGGGCAACCCUGAUCCAGCCAUGCCGCGUGAGUGAAGAAGGCCUUCGGUUGGUAAGUACGUCUUUCGGUCCGGGUAACGGAAAGUACGAC
rnacentral:rRNA from 1 species